rnacentral:pre_miRNA from 1 species
UUCUUUGGUUAUCAAGCAGUAUGAUUGACUGUAAUGGACGGACCAGUGUCUACGGUCAAUCCGGAUUUGGCCGUCCCCCAUCAUAAAGCUCGAUGACCAAAGUC